rnacentral:misc_RNA from 1 species
GAUGAAGAACGUAGCGAAAUGCGAUAAGUAAUGUGAAUUGCAGAAUUCAGUGAAUCAUCGAAUCUUUGAACGCACAUUGCGCCCCAUGGUAUUCCGGGGGGCAUGCCUGUCCGAGCGUCAUUACAACCCUCAAGCUCAGCUUGGUAUUGGGCCCCGCCGACCCGGCGGGCCCUAAAGUCAGUGGCGGUGCCGUCCGGCUCCGAGCGUAGUAAUUCUUCUCGCUCUGGAGGUCCGGUCGUGUGCUCGCCAGCAACCCCCAAUUUUUUUCAGGUUGACCUCGGAUCAGGUAGGGAUACCCGCUGAACUUAAGCAUAUCAAUAAGCGGAGGA